UUGGCAUGGGGGCACCCUGACCGCCUGCCGCGGGAGUGAUGAAGGCCUUCGUGUUGUAAAGCUCUUUUGGCGGGGACGAUGAUGACGGUACCCGCAGAAUAAGCCCCGGCUAACUUCGCGCCAGCAGCCGCGGUAAGACGAAGGGGGCUAGCGUUGUUCGGAAUUACUGGGCGUAAAGCGCGUGUAGCCGGUUUUCCAAGUUGGGUGUGAAAGCCUUGGGCUUAACCCAAGAAAUGCACUCAGUACUGGAAGACUAGAGGACCGGAGAGGAUAGUGGAAUUCCCAGUGUAGUGGUGAAAUACGUAGAGAUUGGGAAGAACACCAGUGGCGAAGGCGGCUAUCUGGACGGUUUCUGACGCUAAGACGCGAAA
rnacentral:rRNA from 1 species